UACGUAGGGUGCGAGCGUUGAUCGGAAUUACUGGGCGUAAAGCGUGCGCAGGCGGUUCGUUAUGUCCGAUGUGAAAGCCCCGAGCUCAACUUGGGAAUGGCAUUGGAAACUGGCGGGCUGGAGUGUGGCAGAGGGGGGUGGAAUUCCACGUGUAGCAGUGAAAUGCGUAGAGAUGUGGAGGAACACCGAUGGCGAAGGCAGCCCCCUGGGCCAACACUGACGCUCAGGCACGAAAGCGUGGGGAGCAAACAGG
rnacentral:rRNA from 1 species